AUGCUGAAGUUGCCUUUUGCACUCUGGAAUUUAAGGGCCGUGUUGCAGACACAAAUUGUUUGUCUGUGCUGGAGACCAGAGGGGAAGCUGUCUUUAAAAGGAUGGGGCUCUUAUACCAUAUGUGAAGUUACCUAUUCAGGUGCUUUUUGGGCACCUGUUUGGAGAUGGAAGACAGACGAAGUCAAAGAAGCAGAGAAGACACAUCAACCAGCAAGUGUGUAAAAUUAUCAGGAAAAUGAUUGACUUUGAAUAGACGACUGCCUUAUUUAGCAAGAAGUUUUGUCUCUCUCUCUCUCAUGUGUAUAUAUAUAUAUAUAUAAUGAGAGACAGAGAGAGCGCACUCUGAAGCACUGCUUUUUAUAUGUAUGCUACAUAUGAUGUCAGAUUUUUUUAUGAAUAUGUUCUUAUAGUAUUUUUUGAGGCUUCACCUGCACCUUUUGAAAGUUUUCUGAAAUGUUUACACAGAUGUCAUUAAGCUGUUAAAUAAAUCUGUAAAAUGUAUGUGUGUUUGUUUUUAUUUUGAUUUUAGAGUCUUCUCAGAUCACCCAAAAAUGAAGAUUCGGUCGUCAUUUACGCAUCCUCAGGUUGUUUGGACACAAAGAGGAUUAUUUGAUAUUUUUAU
rnacentral:lncRNA from 1 species